GGUCGUUAGCUCAGUUGGUAGAGCAGUUGACUUUUAAUCAAUUGGUCGCAGGUUCGAACCGCGCGAAGCGACACACCA
rnacentral:tRNA from 1 species